rnacentral:lncRNA from 1 species
AUGACCACCAGGAGUGGGCCCCGGCGCCUUGGAGACAAGCCCGUUUCUCGAAGUCUUGCUGCAGAAAACCCACCAAGAAAUGAUGCAAAAGGAAAAAUUGCUGGCAAAAUCAACAGAAACAUUUCCACGAAUCGCCUAUGGGCUUGUUCGUGGAAGAUUCGGGGAACGUCUUCUCCGCUCUCGCCCAGAGCUUAUUUGCCGCUCCGACCACCUUGUUUCGGACAGAUUUAUAACAACAAAAUUGGUAUUAUAAAGUAGCAUGUGAAAUAACGGUAGACGGAAGAGGUGCUAGCGGCCAGUCCUGGGUUCUAAGUUUCUCCGGCAAGGAAACGGGCGCAGACGAAACCAGCUGAAUGGGCAAAGGAUGAAGUUACAAAUGACAGAUUUAUAAUAACAAAAUUGGUACAACGCAGCAUGAGUAAUAACGGUAGACGGAGGAGGUUUUACUGGCCAAACCUGGGUUCUAAGUUUCUCCGGCAAGAAAUCAGGCACAGACACAACCAACUGAAUGGGCAAAGGAUGAAGUUACAAAGGAAAUCUACACUACUUGUGAAUGUUUCUCUCUUAGCCUACAUUCUUGUCGAAAUGUCCUGGGCCUGUUUUCUUUAAGACCUAUGUUACCAUGUUUGAUGACCAUGUUACAAUCGAGUUUGAGCAUUCCUCCCCAGGAAAUUCUGGAAGCUUUAAAAAGAACAUAUUUCCUUUUCUGUUACUUUUCCUUGAUUGUAAUGUAUGGUCAUCAUUAAGCUUCCAGAAAAGUUGGAAAUAAACCAAUUAUUCUUUGUGAUCA